GACGAACGCUGGCGGCGUGCCUAAUACAUGCAAGUUGAGCGAUGAAGCUUGGUGCUUGCACCAAUUUGAAGAGCAGCGAACGGGUGAGUAACGCGUGGGGAAUCUGCCUUUGAGCGGGGGACAACAUUUGGAAACGAAUGCUAAUACCGCAUAACAACUUUAAACAUAAGUUUUAAGUUUGAAAGAUGCAAUUGCAUCACUCAAAGAUGAUCCCGCGUUGUAUUAGCUAGUUGGUGAGGUAAAGGCUCACCAAGGCGAUGAUACAUAGCCGACCUGAGAGGGUGAGCGGCCACAUUGGGACUGAGACACGGCCCAAACUCCUGCGGGAGGCAGCAGUAGGGAAUCGUCGGCAAUGGACGAAAGUCUGACCGAGCAACGCCGCGUGAGUGAAGAAGGUUUUCGGAUCGUAAAACUCUGUUGGUAGAGAAGAACGAUGGUGAGAGUGGAAAGCUCAUCAAGUGACGGUAACUACCCAGAAAGGGACGGCUAACUACGUG
rnacentral:rRNA from 1 species